CAGCGUCACAAGUGGGAAUCACGAUUAUUGGUCCUAAAGCGUCCGUAGCCGGUUUGGUAAAUCUUUAGUGAAAUCGGCCAGCUUAACUGGUCGGCGUGCUAGGGAGACUGUCAAACUAGGAACCGGGAGGAGUCAGAGGUAUGCAAGGGGGAGCGGUAAAAUGCAAUAAUCCUUUGCAGACCACCUGUGGCGAAGGCGUCUGACUAGAACGGUUCUGACAGUGAGGGACGAAAGCCAGGGGAGCGAACCGGAUUAGAUACCCGAGUAGUCC
rnacentral:rRNA from 1 species